GUAAGGAGCCAACAAUAUCGGAUCUGAUUUCUCCUCUUCGUUCACACAUGGGCCAGCAGGCGGUCAGAGGCUAAACAGGAGGAUGCAAGGCAGGAGCAACGUUUUAAAGUGCUUCAACACCAGUUUCAGCUGUUACAGGUAGAAACACAAGUCCGCACUUCUCCAGUGCCUGAACGUCCGGCAGCUGAACCUCCUGAUCCAGAGUCUAGAUGAUGACCCUCCGCAAGCUGGUCCCAGUAUGUCAGUUGCUGGCUCAUCUGGUGUGGAUAAAAGAGAAUAAUCCAACUUCUGCUGCAGAGGCUGCAAACCUGGCUGAUGUGUUUGUGGCUGCACAGAGAAAGGGGAUAAGCUUGGAGUUUCACGACUCGCAAAACAAAGACCAGCUGCACGUGCACACAGUCCAAGUAACUAGGGCUCAAGCUAUGAAGCCAGCAGAUCCCCCUCAGACCCUUACUUCUCUGCCAUUUUGAGGCAGAAUUAGGGACAGCACCUGGGAAGUUGCACAAUUCCCACGUCCAGAAAAGGUGAGAGAAAUUUCAUUUUCAUUCAAACUACCUCCCGUCUUUGAGCCUGAAAUAUCUUUGGACUUUAAAGUCCCA
ensembl:lncRNA